CUGAACUACAGAGUGUGUGAUGAAGGGGGUUUGCAUAUUAGGGGCUAGAAAGGAAGAUUGGAGUCAGAUUAUGAUGAUUUUAAACACUAAACAGAGUAGUUUUAUGUACACAUAAUAAGGAGCCACAGAAGUUUAUUGAGAAGAAGAGUGACGUGAUGAGAUCUACAUUACAAAAAAUCAGUUUGGCAGCUGUGUGGAGAAUGCACUGAAGAAGCUAGAGACUUGAGGCAGGGAGAUCACUUAGGAGGCCAUUGCAAUAGUCCAGAUCUUUAGAAAGGAGUCACCCAUCUUCAAUUCCCUCUUCCUGUCUACAAUCCGAAGAUUCUGUCAGUACUACUCAAGUCUAUCCCUGGAUUGAAGGAGAAGGCUGACAAUGAGAACAGGCGGAUUCAAGAUGAGUUUCAUUCAGCACCUUUGACUACCUCUUCUGCUUUAUGGCUAUUAUUGGCUGUUUUUUUUUUAUUUUUGUUUUUGUUUUUUUUUUCCUGAUCACAGGUGAUACUGAACAGUGAUCCUGAGAUGGAUUAUGUCAAAAUCUUGAAGCCAAGUCCACAAAUUUGAGAUAUUGGAGAUUCCGGGUCGAUUGGUCAGAGUCUGCAGAAGAAGUUUUUGAAUCAUAGAAGACUACUGAGGAGAAGAGGAUGAGAGACUAAGCCUGGCUUGUCAGAUAGGUCAUCUAUCUUGAAGGAGAUUCCUUGAGGUGAUAUGCCUAGUUAGUAGUCCUUUGAAAUGCUUCAUGUUCUGAUAUUUAAACUUUUAACUUCCAAGGAAAGCAUAAAUGGAAUUAUAAGUCAUUGAUUACUUAAGUCUUUUCAGUAUGUGUUUGUGUGAGCUUUUUGUGUCAAAUAUUUCUUUUGAGUCUUCAAAGAAAAUCCCUGUUCCAAAGUGGUUUCAUGCUGUACCUUGAAUACCUUUCUAUUCUUCUCCCUGAGGAGUUAUUAGUCAUUAGCCAACUUAAAACUAACAAUGAAGUAUUUACAUAGCACUUUAAGAAUUUUAAAUGAGCUGAGAAUGCUAGAGGGAAAAAUUGGAAAAGAAAUGAGAGCUAUGGAAGAAAGGAUUGGAAAGGGAAUUAACAGUUUGGCAUAAGAGGUAAAAGGAACAAGCAACAAAAUCACUGAAUAUUACAAUGGGACAAAUAGGACCCAAUGAUUUCAUAAAAAAAUAAGAAAUAUUUUUAAAAAUUGAAAAACAAGAAAACAAGAAAAUAUAAGAUAUCUUAUGAAUGUAAAAAAAUGUAAAAAUGACUGAUAUAAAAACAGAUUGAGAAGAAAUGAGUCAUUGGACUAUCUGAAUUCCAUGACCCAAAAUGAGCUUAGACCCAAGAAAUCUUAAAAGAAAACAG